rnacentral:rRNA from 1 species
UACAUAGGGGGCAAGCGUUAUUCGGAAUUAUUGGGCGUAGAGGGCGCGUAGGCGGCUUGGCAAGUGGAUGGUGAAAUCCCUCGGCUUAACCGAGGAACUGCCGUCCAAACUGCUUCGCUUGAGACCGGGAGAGGUGAGUGGAAUUCCCAGUGUAGCGGUGAAAUGCGUAGAUAUUGGGAGGAACACCAGUGGCGAAGGCGGCUCACUGGACCGGUACUGACGCUGAUGCGCGAAAGCGUGGGGAGCAAACGGG